rnacentral:rRNA from 1 species
GAUGAACGCUGGCGGCGUGCCUAAUACAUGCAAGUCGAGCGAAAAGACGAGGAGUUUGCUCCUCUGACGUCAGCGGCGGACGGGAGAGUAACAUGUGUUUAACCUAACUAUAAGACUGGGAUACUUUCGGGAAACCGUGGCUACUACCGGAUAAUAUAUUGACUUGCAUUGUUCACUAGUGAAAGUCGGUUUUGCUGUCACUUAUAGAUGGCUCAGCGCAGCAUUAGUUAGUUGGUGAGGUAACGGCUUACCAAGGCUACGACGCGUACCCGACCCAAAAGGGUGGUCGGCCACACUGGAUCUGAGACACGUCCGAGACACCGGCAGGAAGCAACAGUACGGAAUCUUCCGCGAGGCACGAGAGCCUGAUGGAGCAACACCGCGGGAAGGAUGAUGGUCCACGGAUCCGAGAGCGCUGUUAGUAGGAGAGAACAAAUGUUUAAUUAACUAUGCUCAUCUUGACGGUACCUAAUGAAAAAGCCACGGCUAACUACGUG